AAUGAAAACCUCCCACUUGUGCUGGGACGAGGGUUUACGAAUAAUUGAUGUAGGAUUCAGAGAAAAUAUUGACUGACAGAAAUCCUCAAUUUAUUGAAUCUAAAAAACGUUGAUCACAUUAUUCACAAAUUUGACAAUCUACAAAAUUAUCUAUCUUACCUAAAAAACGUUGACCAAGCUCAAGAGUGGUAUCUCACCGUUAUGACAAUUCGCUCUUCAAGAAGAUGUCGACUUGUGAAAAUGAUUAAACUAAUUCAGCGAACAAAAGAAAGAACCGCCACACAUGGACAAGUGAUAAGAUUUCCACAACAUUAAGAUUUUGAUGAAAUGGAGCGCCUGGCUUUCAGACAACCCAUCAUACACAUAUUAUACAGGAUGUCUCUGUACAACUUUCCCCCCUUCCAUCCUGUGCAAGGAUAAAUUAGGAAAAACUAAUUUUCAGCAGCAUAGGUCGGAACAGCAUACGUUUUUAAGUGGGACGAGUGAAAAAUUCCGCGUUCUUCACCAGUUUUCGGAGAUACCAAAACAUAAAAACUGAAGAAAUUCUGGAGCCUGCACAUGACUCUCCCCAUCAAAAUCAGGUACAAGUUUACUUAGAUCUCCCAAACCAAAUAAAUUAUCGUUCAUAGUUAAAUUUGAAAUUUGUUGUUGUCCUGAAUGAUGAGCAGUCUGUACAUUCAACCCAGGAAGACACUGAGGUAAGUUAAAAUUGGAACUUAAAUUUGAUUUGACGUUUAUAUUUCUUUCAGAGACACCCUGUAUACGUGAACCAGAUUGAACGCGUGCAUGUCCACGUAUGUUAUUCGCUAGAUUUUCAGUAUCAAGAUUAUCAGUAUUAAUCAAAUCAACCCCAGGAACAUCCUGCAUAAAAUAAUCAUUUUCUUGAUCUCCACUUCUAGCUUGAUCAACUUGUACAUUAUUAAGGGUCAUUCUCACUGUAUCAUUAACAAUUUCUGAAAUAAACAUAUCAAACAUUCUAGACUUAUCCUUUUCAUGUUGAUUUUCAAGGUUGAACA